rnacentral:lncRNA from 7 species
ACAGAUCGACAUUUCCAAAUGCCACUAUCUAGUGGACUUGGAUACAGCAGCUGAAACCCCAAGGGAGCCAAGAUACUCCUCCAACAAAGAGGAUUGGGUAACCAUUGCCUACAAGCCAUUCCUAGAUGCUUCCAGGUCCUCAAAGCUGCUGCGUGCAUUCUACGUCCCUGUCCUCUCAGAAAGGUACACACAGUAUGCAAACUACACUAUUCUGAAAUCUCGGAGGUUGAAGCAAACCAAGAGAAAAAUGGGAGGCUAGCAACACACCUGGGUAACAAAACCAACUGACACUCUGGGACGGCUGCCUAAGUCGCCUUCAGUUUCCUUUCUGAAAUGUUGUGCUUGUAAGAUCCACUAAUAAAGAUUUCCAUGAAGUGAUUUCACUCUGCAAGCUUCCUGCUGUAAGAGGGAUACAUCAUCUGCUUUCAGUUCUCGGAGCCAGGUGUCUGCUCUGCCUGCACAGAACCUAUUGGUUUGGAACCAGCUGGAACAUCCAGCACCACCUACAAACAUAUUAUCUUUGCUGUUCUCUGUGUUUACGCCUAUUAUACCAGAGAAGAGAAAAAUGGAAAAUAAAAAGAAAUUACAAUAUCAAGUUCUGCUCCAGGUUGUAGUCUGGCAUGUGGAAAAUCCAGCUUUACUCCCUCUCUCUCUGGCUCUUAUCUGUUAGACUGGUGUUCACUUUCUUAUAGGGAUUUUUUUUUUCAGACAACAGAUCUUACAGUUGCUUUUUGUUGUUGUUGCUUUUCCUUUUUUAAACCAAAAAGAAGGGGAAAAGAGAAAAAUGCUUGAAAGACAGUUAACUAUGAAAUGCACUGAAUCUUGAGCAAAGCAGUGUACAGCAUGGAGAAAUAGUCUGAAGUUGCUCUGUACAGAAGACGCUUUCAAGGAGAAACUUGCACUUUUGGGGAAAAAAGAAGGCUACCACAAACUUACAAAUUGAGCCAAUUAUCUGUUUUCAGUGGGACUGGGUUGCUUUUGUUAUAUUUGGCACUAUGAAACACAAAGGAUUUGCUCCUUAUUUAUAAUUUUUUAGAGAUGCCUGUAACAUUCUUUCGGUUCUAAAUACAGCAUCUUAAAUUUCUGGGUAAAGGCAGAGAGGAAGGGUUGAUUUUAUUUUAUUAUUUAAUCUGUUUCCUGAAUCUACCAGGUAGAGUGUAUUUAUUCUGUUGUUCUAAUAUGCUCCAGAGGAAUGCUUUGUUUAAUUCUGUCUUCAUUUUAAAAGCGUGCAGUAUUACAGGCUUAAU